UUCUGCCUACGGGACGCAGCAGUGGGGAAUAUUGCACAAUGGGGGAAACCCUGAUGCAGCAACGCCGCGUGAGUGAAGAAGUAUUUCGGUAUGUAAAGCUCUAUCAGCAGGGAAGAAGAAAGACGGUACCUGACUAAGAAGCCCCGGCUAACUACGUGCCAGCAGCCGGGGUAAUACGUAGGGGGCAAGCGUUAUCCGGAUUUACUGGGUGUAAAGGGAGCGUAGACGGCUGUGCAAGUCUGAAGAGAAAGCCCGUGGCUCAACCGCGGAACAGCUUUGGAAACUGUAUA
rnacentral:rRNA from 1 species